UACAGAGGUCUCAAGCGUUGUUCGGAUUCAUUGGGCGUAAAGGGCGCGCAGGCGGCGCGGUAAGUCGGGUGUGAAAUCUCGGAGCUUAACUCCGAAACUGCAUUCGAUACUGCCGUGCUUGAGGACUGGAGAGGAGACUGGAAUUUACGGUGUAGCGGUGAAAUGCGUAGAUAUCGUAAGGAAGACCAGUGGCGAAGGCGGGUCUCUGGACAGUUCCUGACGCUGAGGCACGAAGGCCAGGGGAGCAAACGGG
rnacentral:rRNA from 1 species